AUUGAACGCUGGCGGCAGGCCUAACACAUGCAAGUCGAGCGGAGCGGCGGACGGGUGAGUAAUGCCUCGGAAUCUGCCUGGUCGUGGGGGAUAACGUCCGGAAACGGGCGCUAAUACCGCAUCCUCUCAGAUGAGCCUAGGUCGGGUUAGCUCGUUGGUGGGGGAAAGGCCUACCAGGGCGACCAUCCUUAACUGGUCUGAGAGGAUGAUCAGUCACACUGGAACUGAGACACGGUCCAGACUCCUACGUGAGGCAGCAGUGGGGAAUAUUGGACAAUGGGCGAAAGCCUGAUCCAGCCAUGCCGCGUGUGUGAAGAAGGUCUUCGGAUUGUAAAGCACUUUAAGUUGGGAGGCGUUACCAACAUAAUAAGCACCGGCUAACUUCGUGCCAGCAGCCGCGGUAAUUC
rnacentral:rRNA from 1 species